rnacentral:lncRNA from 1 species
CUCUCCUAAGGUGAGAGAGAGAGUGAUGCUGUUAGUGGCAGUGUGCUGUCCCUCAGCACAUGGCAGGAUAGCAGAGCUGUGAACUGAGACCCUUUUGUGCAAACUUCCUUCCCCUCCCCAAACGAAUUUACCAGAAGGGGGGAUCCUGUGCAUUAACUGUGUCUCUCGUGUCCUUAUAGUGUUUCCGUCUUUGUGAGAAUUGCAAAAUACCCGUGUGUGAUCCUACAGGCCUUUGUACAUUUAGAUUUAGAGAAAGAGGUGGCACAGYGUGGAACUGAAAGCRCGCUCCUGAGAUCACUUAGCCUGCRGUAUUGACAGUUUAUUUCAGAGAUCUUCUGCGUGGAACAGGCUGUCUGGUGCUGUAGCAUGGCUAAUAGUAUUCCUCCCAUGGUUGCCUUUCAGUAUUAAGCGAAGGAAAUGCAAUAAGAAUCCCAGGUAGAACUUGCUACAAGCAUCUUGUUUUCGCAGUGCUAAAGAAUCGAAGAAUUUCCAGUGUGGGCACUAAUGCUGGUAGCUGGGCAUGCUGCAUGUGCGGCAGCGUGCU